rnacentral:rRNA from 1 species
GAUGAACGCUGGCGGCGUGCCUAAUACAUGCAAGUCGAGCGAACAGACGAGGAGCUUGCUCCUCUGACGUUAGCGGCGGACGGGUGAGUAACACGUGUAUAACCUACCUAUAAGACUGGUAUAACUUCGGGAAACCGGAGCUAAUACCGGAUAAUAUAUUGAACCGCAUGGUUCAAUAGUGAAAGACGGUUUUGCUGUCACUUCUAGAUGGAUCCGCGCCGCAUUAGCUAGUUGGUAAGGUAACGGCUUACCAAGGCAACGAUGCGUAGCCGACGUGAGAGGGUGAUCGGCCGCACUGGAACUGAGACACGGUCCAGACUCCUACGGGAGGCAGCAGUAGGGAAUCUUACGCAAUGGGCGAAAGCCUGACGGAGCAACGCCGCGUGAGUGAUGAAGGUCUUCGGAUCGUAAAACUCUGUUAUUAGGGAAGAACAAAUGUGUAAGUAACUAUGCACGUAUUGACGGUACCUGAUAAGAAAGCCACGGCUAACUACGUG